ACUGGACUUGGAGUCAGGAC
rnacentral:miRNA from 2 species